rnacentral:tRNA from 1 species
GCGCUGUUGGGUUAGUGGUAUACUGUGUGCUUGCCAUCUUGUGGAUUGCACGCGACUCGGGUUCGAUUCCCGAACAACGCA